CCCUGCCUCUGUUUUUUUAAUCAUUUAUUUUUUGUUAUUUUUUAAUAUAUUUGAGUUUAAUCCAUUUUAAUCUAUUUUAGUUUUUUUUUUUUUGAUAUUUUAAUAACUUUUUUUAACACAUUGUAUUUUGAUAUGAAAAAUACUUUAAAAAAAAAUGUUAGUGCUUAUAAUUUAAUUAGGCUUUAAUUGUUUAGUCACGUCAAUCCACUUCUUGGAAAAAUAAAUAAUCACUAGCUUUAGUUAAGUUUAGAUUAGAUUCUUUAGGAAUUAAUGUGCAUGUUAA
rnacentral:lncRNA from 1 species